AGUAAUGCCUAGGAAAUUGCCCUGAUGUGGGGGAUAACCAUUGGAAACGAUGGCUAAUACCGCAUAAUGCCUACGGGCCAAAGAGGGGGACCUUCGGGCCUCUCGCGUCAGGAUAUGCCUAGGUGGGAUUAGCUAGUUGGUGAGGUAAGGGCUCACCAAGGCGACGAUCCCUAGCUGGUCUGAGAGGAUGAUCAGCCACACUGGAACUGAGACACGGUCCAGACUCCUACGGGAGGCAGCAGUGGGGAAUAUUGCACAAUGGGCGCAAGCCUGAUGCAGCCAUGCCGCGUGUGUGAAGAAGGCCUUCGGGUUGUAAAGCACUUUCAGUCGUGAGGAAGGUAGUGUAGUUAAUAGCUGCAUUAUUUGACGUUAGCGACAGAAGAAGCACCGGCUAACUCCGUGCCAGCAGCCGCGGUAAUACGGAGGGUGCGAGCGUUAAUCGGAAUUACUGGGCGUAAA
rnacentral:rRNA from 1 species